rnacentral:rRNA from 1 species
UGGCUCAGAACGAACGCUGGCGGCAGGCUUAACACAUGCAAGUCGAGCGAGACCUUCGGGUCUAGCGGCGGACGGGUGAGUAACGCGUGGGAACGUGCCCUUCUCUACGGAAUAGCCCCGGGAAACUGGGAGUAAUACCGUAUACGCCCUUUGGGGGAAAGAUUUAUCGGAGAAGGAUCGGCCCGCGUUGGAUUAGGUAGUUGGUGGGGUAAUGGCCCACCAAGCCGACGAUCCAUAGCUGGUUUGAGAGGAUGAUCAGCCACACUGGGACUGAGACACGGCCCAGACUCCUACGGGAGGCAGCAGUGGGGAAUCUUAGACAAUGGGGGCAACCCUGAUCUAGCCAUGCCGCGUGAGUGAUGAAGGCCUUAGGGUUGUAAAGCUCUUUCAGCUGGGAAGAUAAUGACGGU